ensembl:ncRNA F11D5.30 ncRNA
UGACCCCACCCAGGAGAAUUCACGCGUUCCCAAAGGCGGCUUUACAAGAUGGUUAGAGGGGGGAUUACUGCUCUUUGCAAGUUCACGCGUUCGCCAAACUCAUUGAAAUUGAAAUUGAGAGCGCAUUGGCAUGGCACAUCUAAUUUGGACAAGCUUCUGACGGGGGAACGUGAUGCUUCAUCAGUAGCAUACGUUAACGCCUCAACAAGCGAUUUAUCUAGUUUGAUUGUUUUGACAGGCCGCAUGCGGUGCUGGGGGCUUUCCAUUGCUUCACUUCCUAAUUGCAAUGUGUUGCAUUGCGUAGAUAAAAUCUUGAUUAG